GCCCGCCUAGCUCAAUCGGAUAGAGCGUCAGACUUUUACAAGCUGUUGGGCGGUAUUUGAUAUCUGAAGGCUGCGAGUUCGACCCUCGCGGUGGGCU
rnacentral:tRNA from 1 species